rnacentral:rRNA from 1 species
UACGUAGGGGGCAAGCGUUGUCCGGAUUUAUUGGGCGUAAAGAGCUCGUAGGCGGUGUGUCGCGUCGGCCGUGAAAACCUGCAGCUUAACUGUGGGCGUGCGGUCGAUACGGGCAUCACUAGAGUUCGGUAGGGGAGUCUGGAAUUCCUGGUGUAGCGGUGAAAUGCGCAGAUAUCAGGAGGAACACCGGUGGCGAAGGCGGGACUCUGGGCCGAUACUGACGCUGAGGAGCGAAAGCGUGGGGAGCAAACAGG